rnacentral:rRNA from 1 species
CUACGGGUGGCUGCAGUGGGGAAUUUUGCGCAAUGGGCGAAAGCCUGACGCAGCAAUACCGCGUGAGUGAAGAAGGCCUUUGGGUCGUAAAGCUCUUUUCUGGGGGAAGAUAGUGACGGUACCCCAGGAAUAAGCACCGGCUAACUCCGUGCCAGCAGCCGCGGUAAUACGGGGGGUGCAAGCGUUGUUCGGAUUUACUGGGCGUAAAGGGCACGUAGGCGGCACAGCAAGUUAAGGGUGAAAUCCCGGGGCUCAACUCCGGAACUGCUCUUAAAACUGCUGAGCUAGAGAUAGUCAGAGGCGGGUGGAAUUCCUGGUGUAGAGGUGAAAUUCGUAGAUAUCAGGAGGAACACCGGUGGCGAAGGCGGCCCGCUGGGGCUAUUCUGACGCUAAGGUGCGAAAGCGUGGGGAGCGAACGGGAUUAGAUACCCCCGUAGUC